UACGGGGGGGCAAGCGUUGUUCGGAAUUACUGGGCGUAAAGGGCUCGUAGGUGGCCAACUAAGUCAGACGUGAAAUCCCUCGGCUUAACCGGGGAACUGCGUCUGAUACUGGAUGGCCUGAGUUCGGGAGAGGGAUGCGGAAUUCCAGGUGUAGCGGUGAAAUGCGUAGAUAUCUGGAGGAACACCGGUGGCGAAGGCGGCAUCCUGGACCGAUACUGACGCUGAGGAGCGAAAGCCAGGGGAGCAAACGGG
rnacentral:rRNA from 1 species